rnacentral:rRNA from 1 species
CCUACGGGUGGCAGCAGUAGGGAAUUUUGCGCAAUGGGCGCAAGCCUGACGCAGCAACGCCGCGUGAACGAGACGCCCUUCGGGGUGGAAAGUUCUGUCAGUGAGGACGAAAAAUGACGGUACACACAGAGGAAGCACCGGCUAACUCCGUGCCAGCAGCCGCGGUAAUACGGAGGGGGCAAGCGGUGUCCGGAAUCAUUGGGCGUAAAGAGUGCGUAGGCGGCAUGUAAAGUCAGGUGUUAAAGGCGCAGGCUCAACCUGUGUAAGGCACUUGAUACUUGCGAGCUGGAAUGCGGUAGAGGUAAGGGGAAUUCCUGGUGUAGCGGUGAAAUGCGUAGAUAUCAGGAGGAACAUCAGUGGCGUAGGCGCUUUACUGGACCGUAAUUGACGCUGAGGAACGAAAGCGAGGGGAGCAAAUGGGAUUAGAUACCCUUGUAGAC